rnacentral:rRNA from 1 species
UACGGAGGGUGCAAACGUUGCUCGGAAUCAUUGGGCGUAAAGCGCACGUAGGCGGCUCGUUAAGUCGGAUGUGAAAUCCCUGGGCUCAACCCAGGAAGUGCAUUCGAAACUGGCGAGCUUGAAUAUGGAAGAGGGUCGCGGAAUUCCCGGUGUAGAGGUGAAAUUCGUAGAUAUCGGGAGGAACACCAGUGGCGAAGGCGGCCAACUGGACGAAUACUGACGCUGAGACUCGAAAGCGUGGGGAGCAAACAGG